GGUCUGUGAUGAGCAGUAAAAGGUCUGAUUACCCAAAAUCCUCUCCUGCCACCCUCUGGCUCCCAGCAGCCCCUGCUUUCAGCUCCCAUCAUGCUCUAGGCGUGCAGUGGUGGUUCCAGCAGCUGCUGACAGACAGGAUGUGACAUUCCAGUGUGAGUCUGCACAGAGAAACUGCAAGCUCACUGAUGUCAUACAACACAACCAAUCAGCUCAGAGUGCCAGAGUGGUGGGGGAGUGGAAGGGGCUGAUCUAAAGUUUUCAACCUGAGGCC